rnacentral:rRNA from 1 species
UACGGGGGGAGCAAGCGUUGUUCGGAUUUACUGGGCGUAAAGGGCGCGUAGGCGGCCACCGCAAGUCGACUGUGAAAUCUCCGGGCUUAACCCGGAAAGGUCAGCCGAUACUGCGGGGCUAGAGUGCAGAAGGGGCAACUGGAAUUCUCGGUGUAGCGGUGAAAUGCGUAGAUAUCGAGAGGAACACCUGCGGCGAAGGCGGGUUGCUGGGCUGACACUGACGCUGAGUCGCGAAAGCGUGGGGAGCAAACAGG